rnacentral:rRNA from 1 species
UGUGUUGUUGGGUAGGGGAGCGUUCUGUAAGCCUGUGAAGGUGGCCUGUGAGGGUUGCUGGAGGUAUCAGAAGUGCGAAUGCUGACAUAAGUAACGAUAAAGCGGGUGAAAAGCCCGCUCGCCGGAAGACCAAGGGUUCCUGUCCAACGUUAAUCGGGGCAGGGUGAGUCGACCCCUAAGGCGAGGCCGAAAGGCGUAGUCGAUGGGAAACGGGUUAAUAUUCCCGUACUUGGUGUUACUGCGAAGGGGGGACGGAGAAGGCUAUGUUGGCCGGGCGACGGUUGUCCCGGUUUAAGCGUGUAGGCUGGUUUUCCAGGCAAAUCCGGAAAAUCAAGGCUGAGGCGUGACGACGAGGCACUACGGUGCUGAAGCAACAAAUGCCCUGCUUCCAGGAAAAGCCUCUAAGCAUCAGGUAACAUCAAAUCGUACCCCAAACCGACACAGGUGGUCAGGUAGAGAAUACCAAGGCGCUUGAGAGAACUCGGGUGAAGGAACUAGGCAAAAUGGUGCCGUAACUUCGGGAGAAGGCACGCUGACACGUAGGUGAAGUGAUUUACUCAUGGAGCUGAAGUCAGUCGAAGAUACCAGCUGGCUGCAACUGUUUAUUAAAAACACAGCACUGUGCAAACACGAAAGUGGACGUAUACGGUGUGACGCCUGCCCGGUGCCGGAAGGUUAAUUGAUGGGGUCAGCGCAAGCGAAGCUCCUGAUCGAAGCCCCGGUAAACGGCGGCCGUAACUAUAACGGUCCUAAGGUAGCGAAAUUCCUUGUCGGGUAAGUUCCGACCUGCACGAAUGGCGUAAUGAUGGCCAGGCUGUCUCCACCCGAGACUCAGUGAAAUUGAACUCGCUGUGAAGAUGCAGUGUACCCGCGGCAAGACGGAAAGACCCCGUGAACCUUUACUAUAGCUUGACACUGAACAUUGAGCCUUGAUGUGUAGGAUAGGUGGGAGGCUUUGAAGUGUGG